UACGGAGGGUGCAAGCGUUGUUCGGAAUUAUUGGGUUUAAAGGGUGCGUAGGCGGCUAUUUAAGUCUGAUGUGAAAGCCCGGGGCUCAACCCCGGAAGUGCAUUGGAAACUGGAUAGCUUGAGUACGGGAGAGGGUAGUGGAAUUUCGAGUGUAGGGGUGAAAUCCGUAGAUAUACGAAGGAACACCAGUGGCGAAGGCGGCUACCUGGACCGAUACUGACGCUGAGACGCGAAAGCGUGGGGAGCAAAC
rnacentral:rRNA from 2 species